UACAGAGGUCUCAAGCGUUGUUCGGAUUCAUUGGGCGUAAAGGGUGCGUAGGCGGCGCGGUAAGUCGGGUGUGAAAUCUCGGGGCUUAACUCCGAAACUGCAUUCGAUACUGCCGUGCUUGAGGACUGGAGAGGAGACUGGAAUUUACGGUGUAGCGGUGAAAUGCGUAGAGAUCGUAAGGAAGACCAGUGGCGAAGGCGGGUCUCUGGACAGUUACUGACACUGAGGCACGAAGGCGAGGGGAGCAAACGGG
rnacentral:rRNA from 1 species